GCGGGGAUGGCGGAACUGGUAGACGCGCCAGAUUUAGGCUCUGGUAUCGAAAGAUGUGAGGGUUCAAGUCCCUUUCCUCGCACCA
rnacentral:tRNA from 1 species